rnacentral:rRNA from 1 species
AGAAAAUAGAUACCCAGGUAGUCCCAGCCGUAAACGAUGCUCGCUAGGUGUCAGGCAUGGCGCGACCGUGUCUGGUGCCGCAGGGAAGCCGUGAAGCGAGCCACCUGGGAAGUACGGCCGCAAGGCUGAAACUUAAAGGAAUUGGCGGGGAGCACAACAACGGGUGGAGCCUGCGGUUUAAUUGGACUCAACGCCGGACAACUCACCGGGGGUCGACAGCAAUAUGUAGGCCAGGCUGAAGACCUUGCCUGAAUCGCUGAGAGGAGGUGCAUGGCCGUCGCCAGUUCGUACUGUGAAGCAUCCUGUUAAGUCAGGCAACGAGCGAGACCCGUGCCCACUGUUACCAGCAUGUCCUGGUACGGAU